GACGAACGCUUGCGGCGUGCCUAAGAAAUGCAAGUCGAGCGAGGUUCAGGCUUCGGCCGAAAACCUAGCGGCGAACGGUCGCGUAACACGUAAGCAACCUGCCCUGGAGUGGGGGAUAGCCCGCCGAAAGGCGGAUUAAUACCGCAUGUGGACAUCAGAUCGCAUGUUUUGAUGUCUGAAGCAGCAAUGCGCUCCAGGAUGGGCUUGCGGCCUAUCAGCUAGUUGGUGGGGUAACGGCCUACCAAGGCGACGACGGGUAGCUGGUCUGGAGAGGAUGGUCAGCCCGGACUGGGACUGAGACACGGCCCAGACUCCUACGGGGGGCAGCAAUUAGGAAUCUUGCGCAAUGGGCGAAAGGCCUGACGCAGCGACGCCGCGUGACUGAUGAAGUCUUUCGGGAUGGUAAAGGUCUUUUGCACGGGACGAAGGAAGUGACGGUACCGUGCGAAUAAGCCCCGGCUAACUACGUGCCAGCAGCCGGGUAAACUAGUCUACG
rnacentral:rRNA from 1 species